rnacentral:rRNA from 1 species
CCAAUAGCGUAUAUUAAAGUUGUUGCAGUUAAAAAGCUCGUAGUUGAAUUUCGAGACCGGUCUACUGGUCGUGCUUUUGUACGUACUGGUAUAAUCGGUUUCUCUCUUCUGACGAACUAUAAUGCCAUUAAUUUGGUGUUUUAGGGAAUCAGGACUGUUACUUUGAAAAAAUUAGAGUGUUUAAAGCAGGCUCACGCUUGAAUACAUUAGCAUGGAAUAA